GGCAGGUUCGGGUCGGGUCGGUUUCAGGGUGCCGCCACUCAAGGAGCAGGGAGAGGGGCAGGUUCGGGUCAGAUCGGUUUUGGGGUGCCCUCACUCACCCUAAGGAGCAGGGAGAGGGGGGUUUGGGGGUCUGGGGGGUUUGGGGCAGGUUCGGGUAGGGUCGGUUUUGGGGUGCCCCCUAAGGAGCAGGGAGAGGGGGGUUCGGGUCAGGCCGGUUUUAGGGUGCCCCCUAAGGAGCAGGGAGAGGAGGGUUUUGGGGUGCUGUGGGGUCCGGCAGGUUCGGGUCGGGUCGGUUUCAGGGUGCCGCCACUCAAGGAGCAGGGAGAGGGGCAGGUUCGGGUCAGAUCGGUUUUGGGGUGCCCUCACUCACCCUAAGGAGCAGGGAGAGGGGGGUUUGGGGGUCUGGGGGGUUUGGGGCAGGUUCGGGUAGGGUCGGUUUUGGGGUGCCCCCUAAGGAGCAGGGAGAGGGGGGUUCGGGUCAGGCCGGUUUUGGGGUGCCCCCUAAGGAGUAGGGAGAGGGGGGUUCGGGUCAGGUCGGUUUUGGGGUGCCCUCACUCACCCUAAGAAGCUGGGAGAGGGGGGUUCGGGUCAGGAUGGUUUUGGGGUGCCCCCUAAGCAGCAGGGAGAGGGGGAUUUGGGGUGCUGUGGGGUCCGGUCAGGUUGCUUUCAGGGUGCCCUCACUCACCCUAAGGAGCAGGGAGAUGGGGGUUCGGGUCGGGUCGGUUUCGGGGUACCCUCUAAGCAGCAGGGAGAGGGGUUUUGGGGUGCUGUGGGGUCCGGCAGGUUCGGGUCAGGUCGGUUUCGGGGUGCC